GAUGAACGCUAGCGGCAGGCUUAAUACAUGCAAGUUGAGGGGCAGCAUGAUAUACGCGAGUAUAUUGAUGGCGACCGGCGGACGGGUGAGUAAUAGGUAGGAGACCUACCUCAUACAGGGGGAUAGCAUAGAGAAAUCUGUGGUAAUACCCCAUGAGGUUAUAUGAAUAGAGGCAUAUAAUCAAAGCAUAAGCGAUUAUGCGGUAUGAGAGGGGCCUACUGACCAUUAGCUAGUUGGUGAGGUAAGGGCUCACCAAGGCGAAGAUGGUUAGGGGUUUGAGAGAGAGACCCCCCACAUUGGAACUGGGAGACGGUCCAGACUCCUACGGGAGGCAGCAGUAGGGAAUAUUGGGCAAUGGGCGAAAGCCUGACCCAGCCAUGCCGCGUGAAGGAAGACGGCCUUAUGGGUUGUAAACUUCUUUACUACGCGAAUAGAGGUUAGUACGAGAUACUAAUAGGAAGGUAGUGUAGUAAAAAGCAACCGGCUAACUCCGUGCC
rnacentral:rRNA from 1 species